rnacentral:rRNA from 1 species
UACGUAGGGGGCUAGCGUUGUCCGGAAUCAUUGGGCGUAAAGAGCGUGUAGGCGGUCCGGUAAGUCCGCUGUGAAAGUCGGGGGCUCAACCCUCGAAUGCCGGUGGAUACUGUCGGGCUAGAGUCCGGAAGAGGAGAGUGGAAUUCCUGGUGUAGCGGUGAAAUGCGCAGAUAUCAGGAAGAACACCGAUGGCGAAGGCAGCUCUCUGGGACGGUACUGACGCUGAGACGCGAAAGCGUGGGGAGCGAACAGG